UACAGAGGGUGCGAGCGUUGUCCGGAAUCACUGGGCGUAAAGGGCGCGUAGGUGGCACGACAAGUCAGUGGUGAAAGCUCGACGCUCAACGUCGAGUCGGCCACUGAUACUGUUGGGCUGGAGCACUGUAGAGGCAGAUGGAAUUCCGGGUGUAGCGGUGGAAUGCGUAGAGAUCCGGAAGAACACCGGUGGCGAAGGCGGUCUGCUGGGCAGUUGCUGACACUGAGGCGCGACAGCGUGGGGGAGCAAACAGGG
rnacentral:rRNA from 1 species